AGGUCAUGCUGUUUCUCCAUCAGCAGUUUUGAACAUUAAACAUUUGAUUUUCUUUCUUAGAGCCUCCGGUUGAAUUCACCAAACCCCUGGAGGAUCAGACGGUGGAGGAGGAAGCUACAGCAGUUCUGGAGUGCGAGGUUUCUAAAGAGAGCGCAGAGGUUCGGUGGUUCAGAGACGGACAGGAGAUCCGUAAGACUAAGAAGUACGAGAUGGUGGCUGAGGGCUGCAAGAGGAAGCUGAUCAUUAAAGACUGCAGUCUGGACGAUUCCAAAACCUACACCUGCGACGCCAAAGAGUACAAAACCUCCGCCUUCCUCAACGUCGAGCGUGAGUUCACUAUUGUUAUUAUUUUUUAAUAAGACGAUUGAUAAUGUUUAAGUCUUUAUUUCUCAUAUUCACCUUCUUUUUCUCUGUGAUUCAGCUCCGCAUGUUGAGUUCAGUAAACCUCUUCAUGAUGUCGAGGUCAAGGAGAAAGAGUCUGCCAAGUUUGAAUGUGAAGUUUCCCGUGAAAGUGCCAAGGUCCGAUGGUAUAAGGAUGGCAUUGAGAUUAGAAAGGGUAAGAAAUACGAGAUCAUUUCUAAAGGAGUUCAGCGUAUUCUCAUCAUCAGUAAAUCUGUGUUCGAUGAUGAGGCUGAAUACGAAUGUGACGCAAGGACCUCCAAAUCCUCCGGCAUGCUGACCGUUGUCGAGGAGGAGGCCAGAUUCACCAAGAACCUCUCCAACGUGGAGGGAACUGAAACCGACAGCGUUAAGCUGAUCUGCGAGGUCUCCAAACCCAGUGCAGAGGUCACAUGGUACAAAGGAGACCAGGAACUUCCUGAAGCAGGACGAUACGAACACAUCGCAGACGGCAGGAAGAGAGUCCUGAUCAUCCAGGACCUUCGUAUGGACGAUGCUGGAGAAUACCACUGCAAACUGCCCAAAUCAGAGACCACAGCAGCACUGAAGAUCAAUGGUAAGUCUUAGGGCUCAUCGCUAUCUUACACCCCGUCAACAGUGUAUAUAACAGUAUAUAACAGUGCUUCUACACAACUUUUACAUCAACAAUAAACAGAAUAGUAAAUAAAAUAACA
rnacentral:lncRNA from 1 species